rnacentral:rRNA from 1 species
GGUGGAGCAUGUGGUUUAAUUCGAUGCAACGCGAAGAACCUUACCUGGUCUUGACAUCCACAGAACUUUCCAGAGAUGGAUUGGUGCCUUCGGGAACUGUGUGACAGGUGGUGCAUGGUUGUCGUCAGCUCGUGUCGUGAGAUGUUGGGUUAAGUCCCGCAACGAGCGCAACCCCUAUUGUUAGUUGCCAUCAUUCAGUUGGGCACUCUAGCGAGACUGCCGGUAAUAAACCGGAGGAAGGUGGGGAUGACGUCAAAUCAUCAUGCCCCUUAUGACCUGGGCUACACACGUGCUACAAUGGUUGGUACAACGAGUUGCGAGUCGGUGACGGCGAGCUAAUCUCUUAAAGCCAAUCUCAGUUCGGAUUGUAGGCUGCAACUCGCCUACAUGAAGUCGGAAUCGCUAGUAAUCGCGGAUCAGCACGCCGCGGUGAUACGUUCCCGGGCCUUGUACACACCGCCCGUCACACCACGAGAGUUUGUAACACCCGAAGUCGGUGAGGUAACCUUAUGGAGCCAGCCGCCUAAGGUGGGAUAGAUGAUUGGGGUGAAUCGUAACAAGUAACCAAGGCGAUCCGCCUACAG